rnacentral:sRNA from 26 species
GCCCUAGAUCCACAUGAUUUGAGUAGGUUACUUGUUUUUGAAAGCAAGCUAGGGUAU